ensembl:lncRNA
CAAAUCCUACCAGGGCAGGAGGAGGAAGGGAGUAUCCUGGCUCAUCUGAGGUGAUUCGUGAAUCCAGCAGCACAACAGGCAUGGUAGUUGGGAUCGUGGCGGCAGCAGCGCUGUGUAUCCUCAUUCUCCUGUAUGCCAUGUACAAGUACAGGAACCGAGACGAAGGAUCGUACCACGUAGACGAGAGUCGAAACUACAUCAGUAACUCAGCACAAUCCAAUGGGGCUGUAAUCAAGGAAAAACAGCCCAACAGCGCUAAAAGUUCCAACAAAAACAAGAAAAAUAAGGAUAAGGAGUACUAUGUCUGAUCUCAACAUCUAAAUGAACGCUUGUAUAGAAAUAGUCUUCAUUUUAUCUGAGACAUAAUACAAACUUAUUUACUUUACUUUUUAUGAAGCACAUUCAAAAACAAACAAAAAAGACAGGGAAUGCAAUCAGAAAGGAAAGACUGUUUUUAAAAACAAGCAUUUCAUGCUCUUGUUUUUCAGAAACAGGAGCUGAUAAAUUCCCUAACAUCCACAGUGUUUUCAUUUACUCUGCCUGUCUUUAUGUUGCUGGAACAGUUCUGAAAGACAAUGAUGGCACCACGCAUUCAUAAAGCAAGGAGUAUUACUACAACAUCAAGGCACAAUAUGAAACAAAACAAAUUUAAAACAAAACAAAACAGGAAAAAAAAAACAGAAAAAGAAGCUACCUAUGAUUCUGGAUUUAGCCAAAGUGCUAGUGCUUUCUUGAGAAAGAAAUGAGAACAGCUUCACGAAAUUUAUUCAAAACUCAUUUCAUAGAUGGUUGUUCACCUACGGCAUUUAAUUCCUCCCACCUUUGCAAGACAGCUGUACUCAGGGAAAGGCAGGGUGAGGUUCAAAUCACAGGACAAGAAGAGUGUACUCCAAAAAUAAAAGCAGACUGGCUCAUGCUGUCCAGCAAAUUCCUACAUGAAAGCAGGAGGAUUUCAGGUGUGUUGAAUGUAAGUGUGAACGUUUUUUUGGUACUACUCGAUGAUUACCACAGUCUUCCAUUUGCCUCUCCUAUGAUUGCUCUCCUCUCACAUCCUCUCUACUGUCUCAUGUGUCACAGUCAUCCUUGGAAGCACCGAAGAUAGGACACCCUCCCAGGGAGCCAUCAUCAGCACUCUGAUUUAACUGUCAGUCCUUGGGGCACCUGGAGAAAGAUGCGUGGUAGCUGGCAGCAAGCACUGGGCUAGCUGUACCAGUAUCACAGAAAAUAUAGGCUGAAUCUCCCACCUGUCAGAGAAGGGACCUACCACCAGGCUACUGAGGCAGUCUGUCUGGCUGUGGCAAGAUAGAUUUGUUUUAACUCAUAAAAUUCCAGGCUAGGUUUGAACGUAACAACACACAAAGGUUCUUAGGAAUGCAUUAGUCUCAGAUGUUAUUCCUCAGUGAGCUUCAACAUCUCUUGGUCAUAAUAUCAAGGAGAGAUAUAAUUAGAUUUAUAUUUAUGUGCUUUUUGCAACAUACAGGGUUAUUUUCUGUUCAUGCUAUUACUGCUUUGGGAGAAUAAACAAAACUGAUGAACACAUUAUUAUACCUUUAUGAGGGCAAGUUAUUCGAUGCAUGAAUGCUAGUGACACUUUCAGUACUGUGCUCACAACGCUUAUUCUGAUCAUAAUGGUUUUAAUAAUACAUGAGCUCAUGCAUAUACAUACUGUAGCUCGGCUCUUUCAUUAAGAGUCUUGCUAAAUUCUCUCAGCUAGUCUUCCCCAGUGCUCACGCAUUUUCAGGGUGAAAGUCCUUUUAUUUGUCACAGGCAGGUUGCAAAAUCUUGCUGAGAUAUCAUUUUAAAUUUGUUUGGAUCUGCAACCUAGUUUAACAAGGGCAACUUGCAGCCUUUGCUAUUCCUCCUGGGAGAAAAGAAGUGAAGCUUAUGUGAAGUGUUUUAAUGUAUGAAAAAGCCAUGUGAAAGGAAGAGUGGAAAAUUGGAUUCAGUAAUUAAGAUUUUGUGUUGAGACUCCAGUGGUCUCUGUUCAAUUCCCCAGAGUUUCUACAGGAGUUUGGGCAAGUCACAUCAAUCUUUCUAAGACUCUGUAAAGUAAGGGUAACAAUUUCCUCUUUUCCUUCUGCUUUGUCGUAUUUGUCUCUAAGCUCUCAGGUACAGACUUUCUUUGUGUUUAUACCUUGCCUAGCAUACCAUGGCUUUGAACGUAUUCAGG